rnacentral:misc_RNA from 1 species
CGCACAUUGCGCCCGCCAGUAUUCUGGCGGGCAUGCCUGCCCGAGCGUCAUUUCAACCCCUCAAGCGUUCCCGCUUGGUGUUGGGGCCCUACGUGCGCCGUAGGCCCCGAAUCCCAGUGGCGGGCUCGCCGCGAUCCCGAGCGUAGUAGAAUCACGAUCUCGCUCCAGGGCGCCGCGGCGGGUGCCGGCCGUGAAAAUAGGUGCUGAAACGCACCGUACUAUAAAAGGUUGACCUCGGAUCAGGUAGGAAUCCCCGCUGAACUUAA